UCUUUCUCAGAAGUGCAGGGUUUCCUUUGUUUUUGCUUGGUCACGAAACUGCACGCCACUAUGGCCUUUGUAUACUCAAUUGAAGAAUGGAUGUUUCCCGUUUACUGUACAUCAUGGUACGACUACAAGGCAACUCAAAUUUAGUUUCAGUUCUCUUCAGUGUGGAUCGGUAAGCUGUUUAUCUUACUUUCACUUUUAAAUUGUUUGCUCUAUCACUACACGCAUGUGGUCCUAUCUACGUCAUUUCUCUUAAUUCUAAGAUGUUAUGAAUAGGUUAUGAGAGUGGAUUUUCUACUCUCGGGUGUCGUACACCCGAGUUUGCAAACAAUUGGGAAAACAAGAUCAAACAAAGUUGAAAAAAUCUGAAAAUUUGAGACAUCAGACUUUAUCAAAUAUUCGAGCUUCUUGCAAAAUUUCAGCCAAAAAUAACAUCAGAGGAGUUCUCGCCAAAAAAAUAAAAUCAAUGUUCAAAGUUUUGUGCACUGUUUGAACAGUGAUUUUGUUUUUUAUGGUGAGAGUUCCUCGGGUGUUAUUUUUCGCUCAAAUUUUGCAAGAAGCUCAAACAUUUGAUUAUAAUUUGUCUCAAAUUUUCAGAUUUUUUUAGAUUUUGUUUUAUCAUGUUUUUUCAGUUUUUUUUUUUUGAAAUGCGGUGUACUACACUCGAGAGUUGUCACACCUUUCUAUAUAUCUCAUGGUUUUGUGGCUUAUGCCUUGGAAGCUUUUUGCCAAUGCACAAGUGCAAAGUCCUUUCAUUUUCCUCCUGCACACCAUCUCUCUCUGUAUCCUCAGUCGCGUACUAUAACAUUUGACAACAAGUCAGUGUUGUGUUGGUCUCAAUGGGCUGGCACAGUACUAUAGACUAUGGCUAAAGGCUAUGUUUACAAACAUAAAAUAAUGAUUCAAAGAAGAGGAGCAGACGGUGCUACGAUAUUUACCUCAAGGUGGUGAAUCAAUGAACCGAGGGACUUAUUAUUCGGUGAGGCCAGCGGGGUAUUCCAUUUCCUGCAUUUCAUCUUCAGUAUGCUGACUCCAAUCUCCAAAGUCCUCGAUGCUUCUUUCUUAGUCCAUUUAAAUGGGUAAUUGUUUUUACCAGUUGGUACAUGCUUUUCUUUCAAUAUGCACUCUCACAAUAAUAUACUUUUUCUGUUCUUCAAUUUGAUUUGUUGAUGGUACAAGGGAAUCAUUGAAAAAAUGUCUUCUCAUCAAGGAUUGGGCUGUGUUCUCAUUAUAGAACAUAAUUUAUUAUGUGAGGCAUUUGCCAUUUCAACAUCUUGUCUAGGGUAUAUUUUUUUCCACUAAACUGAACUGCCUCGCAAACAAAUUGUAUGUAAUACCCUCUUCUCCAUAAAUAAAUGGCAUCUGCUUGGGCAGUAGGUCAUGCUUGGCAGAAUCGCCUCCUCCCGGUCUUCAGCACUCCUGCAGGAAUUGAGCGCCAGUGUGGUCGGGACACACAGAACACCAACAAGCGACAAAAAUGCACCACUCCAAUAUGCAGCCAGAGUUUGGGCAAUGAUCAAAACAUCGCUUGGUUUACAUGAUGUUCAUCCUACGGAUUGGGGAGGCAUGGUUUCCAUCAAGGAGUGGUGGCGCAGCAACACUUACGGGAGGUCGCAAUCUCGAAGGCUGCUUGUUUCCCAUAUUCUUAACCCUUGGGAAAUCUGGGAUGAGUGAAAUGCUCGGGUGUUCCGCAACAAUGCGACUCCGGUCGUUGUGCUUGUGACACGUCAAAGCGGAGGCAUCAUCGGGGUGCCUUGCCGGGCGAAAUAUUUGUGUAAUAUAAUGCCGCGAGAGUGAUUCUUAAAAUCUUCCUCUUAUUCAAUGAGAAUGACAAGCCUUUUGACAUGUUUCAAACAAAAUAUGGACCCGAAUAGAGUGAAAUGUUUAAUAUGUGCAUACCAUUUCUGGAUUGAGAGAUCUA